rnacentral:rRNA from 1 species
AUACGGAGGAUCCGAGCGUUAUCCGGAUUUAUUGGGUUUAAAGGGAGCGUAGGCGGACGCUUAAGUCAGUUGUGAAAGUUUGCGGCUCAACCGUAAAAUUGCAGUUGAUACUGGGUGUCUUGAGUACAGUAGAGGCAGGCGGGAUUUGUGGGGUAGGGGUGAAAUGCUUAGAUAUCACGAAGAACUCCGAUUGCGAAGGCAGCCUGCUGGACUGUAACUGACGCUGAUGCUCGAAAGUGUGGGUAUCAAACAGGAUUAGAUACCCUGGUAGUCCACACAGUAAACGAUGAAUACUCGCUGUUUGCGAUAUACAGUAAGCGGCCAAGCGAAAGCGUUAAGUAUUCCACCUGGGGAGUACGCCGGCAACGGUGAAACUCAAAGGAAUUGGCGGGG